AGUGGGCAAGCAUGUGACACGCUUGCAAACGUGCGAUCACCUGCAAAGUAACGCGCAACAGCAUAGCGAUCACGGCUACAGGGAGUGCUGCUGUCAAUUUAGGCCAGGAUCGAUUAACAGUAAAAACAACCUCCCUCCCAAUCACGGAAGAAAACAAUCUGCUAGUGGUUUGUUGCCAGUAUUUGCCCAAAACUGCUCCCUAAAAUCAAUAACAUCCUUUUUCCCGACGGACGGAUGAUAAUAAAACUGCCAUUUGCAAUCAAUCAUCUUUUUCGCUCGCCUCCAUUCGCCCCACGCCCGCACCCACACCAACCAACCAACCAACCACCAACAAAGUAUUCUCGCGUGGGACACAGCAUUCCUUCGCAUUUAAUUCCCCCAUCCACUGCAACACCGUCGGGCUGUAGCCUACCCACGCCACGGAGGGAAAAAAGGGAGCCACAGGGAACCUUUUGCUUGAUUUAAUUAUAGGAUAUCUCGAUCGCAAUCCUACACGCCCGGUUUUCGAUUGCAGCGGCAAAAGCUAACGAACCUUGGGAUGAGGGACGAGCGGAGUGGAGCCGAUGCAUUCGAGGAGGGGAGGGAGAGAGAGAGAGAGAGAGAGAGAGUGCGCGCAAGAAGGGAAAGAAUGAGAACGUGCGUUAGAUUGACCCAUUAAAUGGGUUUUUAUUUUUAUCACACCGUCGUUGGUGUAAGUGUGUUCAGCGAACACGAAAAGGUGGAAAGAAGGUAGGAUACAGCUAAAGAUUAAGUGUUUCCUAUUAGGUUAAGAGGCUUCAUCGCCAGAUUACGCAACCAAGAAAAAAUAGUUUUUUAUAGAGUUUUUGGGGAAAAACAUAAGCUUUUUUUGCUAAGCUUUUAUUGAAGUAAAUCAAAGUAAAAGACAAUAUUUAAAAUUCUUUAUCGAAAGACAACAUUUUCAUUCAUAUCAACCCGGAAAAACAACAAGAGGAUCACUUGAAUCAAAUAAAAAUUUACCGAAGUAAAUAAAAGACCCGGUUUACAUUACAAAAAACAACGGGCGACACGCUCGUUAAUUAGCUCGUUAAUGUCAUUUCUGGCUUGAUUUUUUUUUUCUUUUUUUAAAUUGUUCUCCUCCCCGCAAUAUUGCAAACAAAUUUCAAUUCAAAAUAAAAAGCACCUUUUCUCCCA